AGUCUUAUAGUCAAUCAUGAUUUUAGAUUGCAAAUUUAAAGGUUUAUUAGUUUAGUUUAAGACUU
rnacentral:tRNA from 1 species